AUUCAAUCAUUUUAAAAUUAAAAAAAAGGACCAGAGAAAGGCAGAGAGCCCAAAUUGAGUCGAGGGUUUCUCCCCCUCACCUCAAUCCCCCAAAAAUCUCCCUUCUCCCUAGUUGGCAUCAUCCUUCUUCGUUAUUCUGUGCAGUCCCCUUCUUCUUCUGUUCAGUUUAACAGAGAGAAGGGGGAAGGCAUGGCUCAUCGAUGAAAAGCACCAUGUGUAGAAUUAGCAUCGAAGAAAAAGCCAAUGCCAAAAAGCAUCUCCUACGCACUUGGCAGGGAAUGUUUGUGCAAUUCUUUCUUCAGGGAAUGCUUGGUUGCUAUGUACAAAUAAAAGUUGGUCAUGGAUCAAGUAUUCAAGGGCUUGAGACAACUGCAACUUUUGACCAAAUAUUACUUUUGAAAGCUGUAUUUUUUUUUUGUUAUUUGGCAUUGUAUUUGUACAAUGAAUCAUGAAGUUCCAUUGGUAUAGUUUUUAGAAAUACCCAAUUGUAUGAAUUGAAAAUUGUAGGAAUUGAAAAUUAAAUGGAAA